UGCGGCUGGAUCCCCUCCUUUCUAGGGAGAUUUCUUUAGAACGUCGACCGGGCUCCCCGAUGACAAGUGUCAUCGGGAACGCUGCUCAGUUUUGAGAGACCGCCGGCGAAAGCACUUCGCCGCGUGCGCCUCGGUGGAGCUUGAAAACCGCACAAGGCCAAUAUUGAUGUAAGGGUAAUUUCCGACCCGGGCGGUUCGGCGCACGGGUCACUCACCGUCAAGAUAGUAAGGGCUUACGGUGGAUGCCUUGGCA
rnacentral:misc_RNA from 1 species